GUAUCCACAUUUUGUGAAGUUCCCCAUCGGGUUUUCUUACGAUUUUCAUUCACUUUGAAGUCUGUCGCUGUCAUUCGAGUUUUCUGCUGGCAAAUUUUAUUUGCCUUACUCUGCACAAGGACGAUGAUUGAAGCCGAGUUGGCGAAUUAAUCUGAUUCUUGGUUAUGUUUCGGGGUUCCAGACGAAUGAAAAAAUAUUACUUAUUAGAUUACAUCUUGAUACUUCAUCUUCAAUAUUUCGUCAUAAAUUGGACGUUUUCUGGAGUGCUGAGAAACGAUGACGAUGGUGGCACAAUUACAAUGCAUUAAAGUUAUGAUGAAGCCAGCCAUGGUGAUGAUGAUCAUUGUGUCCUGGAAAACGGGAAUCGGAAUGGGAAUGGGAAUGGGACUGAGGAUGGCCAUGGAUCUGCAACAAUUAUGAAUCUCUCGCGCUGUGUCGCGUGUGUUGAAUGCCUGACUGACAGCUGAAGGAUGGCAAGGACACGGGACACGGGACAUGCAGGCAGUCGAGCACGAAAAUCCCGCUGACAGUUGAAACGAGUGCGAUGGAGACAUCACAUUGUCCCCACUGGCUUUUCACAUACUCACAUAUACAAAAUAAGAAUCAUUCUUGCUGAAUGCAGUUUCGCGUGCAAAAGUAUUCCAAAUGUCUUUGCAGAAAAUAUUUAUGUCCUGAAGCCGAAAAAAGUCCAAAUUAAUUGUUAUAAUUCAGACGGAUUUCUGGCCGUUUUAGUAUGGCAUUAAUAAUGAAUUUGAGAAAUCA